rnacentral:sRNA from 1 species
GAGUGAAACAUAGGUCUAAAUAGUUUUCAAUGUUGGAGUGAAACAUAGGUCUAAAUAGUUUUCAAUGUUGGAGUGAAACAUAGGUCUAAAUAGUUUUCAAUGUUGGAGUGAAACAUAGGUCUAAAUAGUUUUAAAUGUUGGAGUGAAGCAUAGGUCUAAAUAGCUUUAAAUGUUGGAGUGAAACAUAGGUCUAAAUAGCUUUAAAUGUCUAUAAUUUGUUAAUUUUUGACAUUUUAAUUUCUACCAAAAAAAAAAUCGAAAAUCACACAAAUACAUUUAUACUUAAUGUUAAAACUAUGUAUGUGGCUUAUAGAGAAAGAUCUAUAACAAUGCUUAAUAAAGUAUGACCUUUUUACCAAAAUGUUAAGUAAAAAGUUCCCCUUUCAGACCAUGUGGUCAAUAGGGCAAAUGAU